GAACUAAUCUUUACCCUUGGAACACAUGCUGGGAGGUUAGACCGUUUCCAUCCACAGGCCGUUUAAAUACAAUUCAUUUCCAGUAUUUUUGAAACUGGUGGAAGUUAUAAGCAUUGGAAUUUUGAAGGAGGGAGACGUCUUUGUCAUUUCUUUAUAUCUUUCUCAUUCUGUAUUUGGCAGCAUUAGUGCUUCAAUAGCAAUCGAGCUAUACAGUGUUAAAUCGUUACAAAAGUGAAAAGUGAGGUUAGUUUGUAGCGUGACACGUGGCGUGAUCGGUUUUCGAAGAUGGAACAGAUAAUCUCAUAUGCUAUUGGGGCUACAGACAAGGGAUGGAUUGUAGAAGAUUUUGGUAUAGGAGUCGUUGUGAAAACAAAAAAAUUUUGACGAUAACAAAAACAAAAGUAAAGAUAA